CCUACGGGUGGCAGCAGUGGGGAAUAUUGCACAAUGGGCGCAAGCCUGAUCCAGCAACGCCGCGUGAGUGAGGAAGUAUUUCGGUAUGUAAAGCUCUAUCAGCAGGGAAGAGAAAAGAAGGUACCUGCUAAAGAAGCCCAGGCUAACUACGUGCCAGGAGCCGCGGUAAUACGGAGGGGGCAAGCGUUAUCCGGAUUUACUGGGUGUAAAGGGAGGGGAGCCGGAAAGGCAAGUCAGAAGUGAAAGCCCAGGGCUCAACCAUGGGACUGCUUUUGAAACUGUCAAACUAGAGUGCGGGAGAGGUAAGAGGAAUUCCUAGUGUAGCGGUGAAAUGCGUAGAUAUUAGGAGGAACACCAGUGGCGAAGGCGGCUUACUGGACCGUAACUGACGUUGAGGCUCGAAAGCGUGGGGAGCAAACAGGAUUAGAUACCCCAGUAGUC
rnacentral:rRNA from 1 species